rnacentral:rRNA from 1 species
AUUGAACGCUGGCGGCAGGCCUAACACAUGCAAGUCGAGCGGAGCGGCGGACGGGGGAGUAAUGCCUAGGAAUCUGCCUGGUAGUGGGGGAUAACGUCCGGAAACGGGCGCUAAUAUCGCAUACUAUCAGAUGAGCCUAGUUGGUAUUAGCUAGUUGGUGGGGUAAAGGCCUACCAAGGCGACGAUCCGUAACUGGUGUGAGAGGAGGAUCAGUAACACUGGAACUGAGAAACGGUCCAGACUCGUACGGGAGGAAGAAGAGGGGAAUAUUGGAAAAUGGGCGAAAGCCUGAUCCAGACAUGCGGCGUGUGUGAAGAAGGUCUUCGGAUUGUAAAGCACUUUAAGUUGGGAGGCGGUACCAACAGAAUAAGCACCGGCUAACUUCGUGCCAGCAGCCGCGGUAAUAC